rnacentral:misc_RNA from 1 species
GAAAACAGACCGCGCACGCGUCAUCCAGCCCGCCGAGCGGUCCGCCGCUCGGCCAAGUCCUCGACAACCUCCUCUCCUCGGAGCGGGGGCUCGGGGUAAAAGAACCCACGGCGCCGAAGGCGUCAAGGAACACUGUGCCUAGCACGGGGACGCGGCUGGCUUGCUGGCCGCACCCCGUGCUGCAAUGCUAUUUAAUCCACACGACUCUCGGCAACGGAUAUCUCGGCUCUCGCAUCGAUGAAGAACGUAGCGAAAUGCGAUACCUGGUGUGAAUUGCAGAAUCCCGCGAACCAUCGAGUCUUUGAACGCAAGUUGCGCCCGAGGCCAUCCGGCCGAGGGCACGCCUGCCUGGGCGUCACGCUAAACACGCUCCCACCCCCCCUCAUCGGGGGAGCGGGAUGCGGCAUGUGGCCUCCCGUCUCGCAAGGGGCGGUGGGCCGAAGAUAUGGCUGCCGGCGUAUCGUGCCGGACACAGCGCUAGGUGGGCGUUCUCGCUAAGCUUAUCGCAGUGUAUCCGGUACGUAGCUGGCACGAUGGCCUUUAAAGACCCUUUGAACGGUGCGCAUGACGCUCCGACCGCGACCC